rnacentral:lncRNA from 1 species
UGGGGCAACACUGAAAUGUGUGGGUAGUUGAGGAGGCGCCAUGCAUGGACCAGCGCUGUGGAGCAGUUGAGGAGGCGCCAUGCAUGGACCAGCGCUGUGGAGCAGUUGAGGGUGGUCCAGAUUUGUGUCUUAAGCAUCUGCAGAAGAUGGGCCAGCUUUAAGUUCUGAUGCGUUGGGAGAGGGAUUUAGUGCUGCCUUUCUUGCUGAUGAGUAUAAUCUCCUUUUACAUUUUAAGACAGGCACAUGCUAAAUCUUUCCUGGAAGGACUGCUUUUUUGUUGGACGUUUUUGCCUCCACAGUUAAAAUAGUGAUAGGUGACAAAAUUGAUAAGGGUUCAGGUUGAUCUGUUUCUCUAAGUGGUUAAAAAUCUUUCCUCUCCUUUCUUUCCCUCUGGGGUUGGCUUUAAGCCCAUUCAUUGUUGAACUCAGUCCUCCUGCCUCAGUCUCCUGUGCGCUCUCACUCAGCUCUGGGAGUCUGUCACUGCCUGUCCAGUUUGUUUUCCUGGUGCCCUUUAUACUGCUUACCAGUUUCUCAGGACAAGUGGCAUCCUGUCAAAGUGUGGUACAAUGUAACACAUGGUAGCAUCGUGGCGUCCUGUCAAAGUGUGGUACAGUAUAGCACAUGCUAGCAGGACCAAGGCUCUAGAGUGGUGAUAAACUGCCUUUAAGUUUGUGUCUUCACUGAUAGUAAGAUCGGGCAUCUUCCACAUUAAUGUUUCCUUCACCUUCCCUCUUAGUCCUCUACUUGGUAUUGCCACUCUGUGCUUCUCUUGGCCUGCUUGUCCUUGUCUCUGUGACUUGUAGACGUGUUCUUCAAAUGUUACAAUGCUGUGUCAAAAAACCUCUCCUUCUAAUCUACAUUUUGUGUUCACUUUUUAUAGAUUUUUAAAAACCUAUUAAGAUUUCAUCUUUCAUGGCUUGAAAAAAAUUUAAACUCUGCUGCAUAGAAAACAUAAUUUUUGCAUGUCCUAUUUUUCUAAACAAAUUUUUCUUUUAUAUAUAGAAAGAUAUCAAGUGAGUAGUAUUAAAGCUCUCCAUUUGAAAAUAUUUAAACAUUAUGUUGCUGAUACAGACAUUAGCAGAUGCUUUCUGAUCGCUCCUUACUCUUGUGAGCACACUUACCUUUGCCCACUGAAGGCAGGGCUUCCUUCUUAAAUAAUGAACUUAGGUUUUUUGGCAAUUUCUUUUGGGUUCUCUGGAAAAUCAAGCAAAC